rnacentral:rRNA from 1 species
UACGUAGGGCGCAAGCGUUGUCCGGAAUUAUUGGGCGUAAAGAGCUCGUAGGCGGCCAGUUGCGUCCGCUGUGAAAUCCCGGGGCUUAACCCCGGGCGUGCAGUGGAUACGGGCUGGCUAGAGGCAGGCAGGGGAGAACGGAAUUCCCGGUGUAGCGGUGAAAUGCGCAGAUAUCGGGAGGAACACCGGUGGCGAAGGCGGUUCUCUGGGCCGAUACUGACGCUGAGGAGCGAAAGCGUGGGGAGCGAACAGG